rnacentral:rRNA from 1 species
CUACGGCUCGCAGCAGUGGGGAAUAUUGGACAAUGGGGGAAACCCUGAUCCAGCAAUGCCGCGUGUGUGAAGAAGGCCUGCGGGUUGUAAAGCACUUUCGGUUGGGAGGACUGCUUCUAGCACUAAUAUUGUUGGAAGUUGACGUUACCUUCAGAAGAAGCACCGGCUAACUCCGUGCCAGCAGCCGCGGUGAAUACGGAGGGUGCAAGCGUUAAUCGGAAUUACUGGGCGUAAAGCGCGCGUAGGCGGCUAGAUCAGUCGGGUGUGAAAGCCCCGGGCUUAACCUGGGAACUGCAUCCGAUACUGUCUAGCUUGAGUACAGGAGAGGAGAGUGGAAUUCCACAUGUAGCGGUGAAAUGCGUAGAUAUGUGGAGGAACACCAAUGGCGAAGGCAGCUCUCUGGCCUGAUACUGACGCUGAGGUGCGAAAGCGUGGGGAGCAAACAGGAUUAGAUACCCCGGUAGUC